UUAGUUUAGCGGCGGACGGGUGAGUAACGCGUGGGCAACCUGCCUCACACUGGGGGAUAACACUGGGAAACUAGUGCUAAUACCGCAUAACAUCAUGAAAGGACAUCCUUUUAUGAUCAAAGGAGCAAUCUGGUGAGAGAUGGGCCCGCGUCCAAUUAGCUAGUUGGUGGUGUAACGGACCACCAAGGCGACGAUUGGUAGCCGAACUGAGAGGUUGAUCGGCCACAUUGGGACUGAGAUACGGCCCAGACUCCUACGGGAGGCAGCAGUGGGGAAUAUUGCGCAUUGGGGGGAACCCUGACGCAGCAACGCCGCGUGAAGGAUGAAGGUUUUCGGAUCGUAAACUUCUUUGAUGGGGGACGAAACAAAUGACGGUACCCCAAAAACAAGCCACGGCUAACUACGUGCCAGCAGCCGCGGUAAUACGUAGGUGGCGAGCGUUGUCCGGAAUUACUGGGUGUAAAGGGCGUGUAGGCGGGAAUGUAAGUCAGAUGUGAAAUGCCGAGGCUUAACCUCGGAGCUGCAUCUGAAACUGUGUUUCUUGAGUGUCGGAGAGGAAAGUGGAAUUCCCAGUGUAGCGGUGAAAUGCGUAGAUAUUGGGAGGAACACCAGUGGCGAAGGCGACUUUCUGGACGAUAACUGACGCUGAGGCGCGAAAGCGUGGGGAGCAAACAGGAUUAGAUACCCUGGUAGUCCACGCCGUAAACGAUGGAUACUAGGUGUGGGAGGUAUCGACCCCUUCCGUGCCGGAGUUAACACAAUAAGUAUCCCACCUGGGGAGUACGGCCGCAAGGUUGAAACUCAAAGGAAUUGACGGGGGCCCGCACAAGCAGUGGAGUAUGUGGUUUAAUUCGAAGCAACGCGAAGAACCUUACCAGGGCUUGACAUGC
rnacentral:rRNA from 1 species